ACUCCUACGGGAGGCAGCAGUGAGGAAUUAUGCGCAAUGGGGGAAACCCUGACGCUGCGACGCCGCGUGGGCGAUGAAGGCCUUCGGGUCGUAAAACCCUGUCGAGAGGGGCGAAAAGCCGGUGUGCUAAUACCACUCCGGCUUGACGGUACCUCUGGAGGAAGCCCCGGCUAACUCCGUGCCAGCAGCCGCGGUAAUACGGAGGGGGCAAGCGUUGUUCGGAAUUACUGGGCGUAAAGCGCGC
rnacentral:rRNA from 1 species